rnacentral:miRNA from 1 species
GGCAUGUGUGAGUUGGCUGACUGUACUCCAAAGUGGGGCUUCGACAUAAAGAUUUAAGCAUUUCCGAGUUAAAUGAUACCAGCUACCACAGUGUA